rnacentral:rRNA from 1 species
GUAGGGAAUAUUGGACAAUGGGCGCAAGCCUGAUCCAGCCAUGCCGCGUGAGUGAUGAAGGCCCUAGGGUUGUAAAGCUCUUUCAGUGGGGACGAUAAUGACGGUACCCACAGAAGAAGCCCCGGCUAACUUCGUGCCAGCAGCCGCGGUAAUACGAAGGGGGCUAGCGUUGUUCGGAUUUACUGGGCGUAAAGCGCACGUAGGCGGAUCGUUAAGUCGAGGGUGAAAUCCUGGAGCUCAACUCCAGAACUGCCUUCGAUACUGGCGAUCUUGAGUCCGGAAGAGGUGAGUGGAACUCCUAGUGUAGAGGUGGAAUUCGUAGAUAUUAGGAAGAACACCAGUGGCGAAGGCGGCUCACUGGUCCGGUACUGACGCUGAGGUGCGAAAGCGUGGGGAGCAAACAGGAUUAGAAACCCGGGUAGUCC